CGAUGUGGGAAGGCCCAGACAGCCAGGAUGUUGGCUUAGAAGCAGCCAUCAUUUAAAGAAAGCGUAAUAGCUCACUGGUCGAGUCGGCCUGCGCGGAAGAUGUAACGGGGCUAAACCAUGCACCGAAGCUGCGGCAGCGACGCUUAUGCGUUGUUGGGUAGGGGAGCGUUCUGUAAGCCUGUGAAGGUGUGCUGUGAGGCAUGCUGGAGGUAUCAGAAGUGCGAAUGCUGACAUAAGUAACGAUAAAGCGGGUGAAAAGCCCGCUCGCCGGAAGACCAAGGGUUCCUGUCCAACGUUAAUCGGGGCAGGGUGAGUCGACCCCUAAGGCGAGGCCGAAAGGCGUAGUCGAUGGGAAACAGGUUAAUAUUCCUGUACUUGGUGUUACUGCGAAGGGGGGACGGAGAAGGCUAUGUUGGCCGGGCGACGGUUGUCCCGGUUUAAGCGUGUAGGCUGGUUUUCCAGGCAAAUCCGGAAAAUCAAGGCUGAGGCGUGAUGACGAGGCACUACGGUGCUGAAGCAACAAAUGCCCUGCUUCCAGGAAAAGCCUCUAAGCAUCAGGUAACAUCAAAUCGUACCCCAAACCGACACAGGUGGUCAGGUAGAGAAUACCAAGGCGCUUGAGAGAACUCGGGUGAAGGAACUAGGCAAAAUGGUGCCGUAACUUCGGGAGAAGGCACGCUGAUAUGUAGGUGAAGUCCCUCGCGGAUGGAGCUGAAAUCAGUCGAAGAUACCAGCUGGCUGCAACUGUUUAUUAAAAACACAGCACUGUGCAAACACGAAAGUGGACGUAUACGGUGUGACGCCUGCCCGGUGCCGGAAGGUUAAUUGAUGGGGUUAGCGGUAACGCGAAGCUCUUGAUCGAAGCCCCGGUAAACGGCGGCCGUAACUAUAACGGUCCUAAGGUAGCGAAAUUCCUUGUCGGGUAAGUUCCGACCUGCACGAAUGGCGUAAUGAUGGCCAGGCUGUCUCCACCCGAGACUCAGUGAAAUUGAACUCGCUGUGAAGAUGCAGUGUACCCGCGGCAAGACGGAAAGACCCCGUGAACCUUUACUAUAGCUUGACACUGAACAUUGAGCCUUGAUG
rnacentral:rRNA from 1 species